AUCCAUCAGGUGACUUCAUCCAGCCAACCACCAUCUGCAGAUACGAAGCCAACAUGUCCCAGUACAUCACCGACCUCGGAGUGUCUCUCAGUCCGAAUGAUGAGAGUCAACUCCGUGCUCAAGGCUUCAGCAAAAUUAAUGUAGAUCUGAACAAAGGAGCCGGAGGAAAAAGUACCUACCUCUGGUACAAGAGAGGCGACUCUGGAGCCAUCACCAGGAUCCAGUUCUCCUUCACUGAUCAAAUGAACGAAGGCUUGAACAGGGCAGGGUACCAGAAGAUCGACAAAAACCUCAACGCUGGAGCAGGAGGGAACGACCUCUAUCUGUGGUUCUUCAAAGGUUCCUCAGAGUACCACGUUCCCAUCGUGAACCUGGACGUCUCUACUACCGAUGAAGCCCAGAAGUUUAAGUUCGGCUGGGAGAGACUGGCUUCCGAUCUGAACCGGAAGGCCAGAGGAUAUCAGAUCUUUGUGUGGGUGAAGAGAGAGAAGCCAACCUACAUCUGUGACGUCACCGCCACCUCCGACUUCCAGGGAGACGACGACUACUUCAACAACGGCUACAUCCGAGUGGGCGAAGACACCAACAGAGGAGCAGGAGGUGCCUACGUCUUCAUCUGGUACCGUGAGACCACCAAGCCUGAGGAGGCCAUCAGAGAUCUGCAGGUCUCCAUCAGUGACGAGGAGUAUGAGCGCUUCCAAGCCCAGCAGUAUACACCGGUGAACACGGAUCUGAACAAGGGCACCGGAGGAAACCCGGUGUUCCUGUGGUACAAGAAAGACGGCAGCAGCGGCGGCUCCAUCAAGGACGUCACUCUGGUCGUCACCAGAGAAGAUGUGCGUCCAUUUAAGGCUGUUGGUGUGGAGGUCAUCCCAAAAAGCCUCAACACAGGAAACUCCCGUGCACCUGAGCUGUUCCUGUGUUUCUACCGCUGAUGUCACCAUGGCAACAGAGCUGAGCAUGCUCACUGAGCAGAAACAAAAGAAUCCAAAAUGUAUUUCUCUUUAAUCUCUUUAAAUUUUCCUCCCGUGAUGAAACAGUGAAAUGUUUUAACUCCCCUGUUGUCCUCAUUUACAGGCACCAAAAACAAUUGUUUCCUUGUCUGAAAAAAAUCCAAAAUUCAGCAAAAAAAUUCCCCAAAUUUCUGAAAAUAUGCAAAACUUUUAGGAAUAAAAUUCCAAUAAUUCCUUAAAAAUUUCCCUUAAAAGUUUUUGUUUAAAAAAACAAAACAAAAAUCUUCCAAAAAAAUCCUAAAAAUAUCUAAAGUGAUUCCAUAUGUAUCAGUAAAACUUCUAAUAUUUUCUUGAAGAACAUUCACAUAAAAAUCAACCAAAAUCCAGUGAAAUUUGCUGGAUAUUGAUUGAUUUUUUUUCUGAAUGUUCUUAAGAAGUAUUUGUAACAUCUUUUUUUUUCCACCAAAAAAUGUUCAAAGAUUUCCCAAAAAUGUUGAAAAUGUGGACAUCAGAAGUUUUACUGUGAAAUUAGAUUUUUUUCCCCCACAUUUUCAAACUUUAAAACGGGUCAAUUUUGACCCACAGGACGACAUGAGGGUUAAAUCACUGUGAUCUUACAAGUUUUAUUCCCCAAACAUCUAUAAUCAGUCAACCUGUGUGCUCUUCAUGGAUUCUGUUUCACUUCAUUCUAACUUUCUUUGAUUCAAUAAAGUCUCAUCUGCAUCUCAAA
ensembl:lncRNA